rnacentral:rRNA from 1 species
GAUGAACGCUGGCGGCGUGCUUAACACAUGCAAGUCGAACGAAGCAAUUGGAGUGCUUGCACUUUAAUUGACUGAGUGGCGGACGGGUGAGUAACGCGUGGGUAACCUGCCUCACACAGGGGGAUAACAGUUGGAAACAGCUGCUAAUACCGCAUAAGCGCACGGUACCGCAUGGUACAGUGUGAAAAACUCCGGUGGUGUGAGAUGGACCCGCGUCUGAUUAGCUAGUUGGUAAGGUAACGGCUUACCAAGGCGACGAUCAGUAGCCGGCCUGAGAGGGUGAACGGCCACAUUGGGACUGAGACACGGGCCCAAACUCCUACGGGAGGCAGCAGUGGGGAAUAUUGCACAAUGGGGGAAACCCUGAUGCAGCGACGCCGCGUGAACGAGAGUAUUCGGUAUGUAAAGUUCUAUCAGCAGGGAAGAUAAUGACGGUACCUGACUAAGAAGCACCGGCUAAAUACGUGCCAGCAGCCGCGGU